GUGCUCGCUUCGGCAGCCCAUAUACUAAAACUGGAACAAUACAGAGAAGAUUAGCAUGGCCCCUGAGGAAGAAGUAAAAUUGAUCAUAAAAAGUAAAAGGGGAUCUCU